GACGUAGGGCGCGAGCGUUGUCCGGAUUUAUUGGGCGUAAAGAGCUCGUAGGCGGUUUGUCGCGUCUGCUGUGAAAACUGGAGGCUCAACCUCCAGCCUGCAGUGGGUACGGGCAGACUAGAGUGCGGUAGGGGAGAUUGGAAUUCCUGGUGUAGCGGUGGAAUGCGCAGAUAUCAGGAGGAACACCGAUGGCGAAGGCAGA
rnacentral:rRNA from 1 species